UUGACGGGGCCGCACAAGCGGAGGAACAUGUGGUUUAAUUCGAUGAUACGCGAGGAACCUUACCUGGGCUUAAAUGUAGAGUGCAUUUUUAGAGAUAGAAAUUCCCUUCGGGGCUUUCUGCAAGGUGCUGCAUGGUUGUCGUCAGCUCGUGCCGUGAGGUGUCGGGUUAAGUCCCAUAACGAGCGCAACCCUUAUCGUUAGUUGCCAUCUGGUAAUGCAGGGGACUCUAGCGAAACUGCCACCGUAAGGUGAGAGGAAGGUGGGAUGACGUCAAAUCAGCACGGCCCUUAUGUCCAGGGCUACACACGUGUUACAAUGGUCGGUACAGAGGGCAGCUACCUGGUGACAGGAUGCUAAUCUCGAAAACCGGUCUCAGUUCGGAUCGAAGUCUGCAACUCGACUUCGUGAAGCUGGAUUCGCUAGUAAUCGCGCAUCAGCUAUGGCGCGGUGAAUACGUUCCCAGGCCUU
rnacentral:rRNA from 1 species